UACGUAGGGGGCAAGCGUUGUCCGGAUUUAUUGGGCGUAAAGAGCGUGUAGGCGGCUAGGUAGGUCCGUUGUGAAAACUCGAGGCUCAACCUCGAGACGUCGAUGGAAACCAUCUAGCUAGAGUCCGGAAGAGGAGAGGUGGAAUUCCUGGUGUAGCGGUGAAAUGCGCAGAUAUCAGGAAGAACACCCGUGGCGAAGGCGGCUCUCUGGUACGUGACUGACGCUGAGACGCGAAGCGUGGGGGAGCGAACAGG
rnacentral:rRNA from 1 species